UAUCGGCCGGCGACGAUAUUUGAAAUAGUGAGUCUUGGAAUUUAGCACACGGGUCUAGAAGUUCCAUUGGACGAUGAAGUUAUAUAUGUAGACACUGUUCUGGAAAAAAAUUGGCAUUGAAGGUGAAGAUUAGUUUUUGGAUCUUGGUGGGAAAUCUGAUGCCUGUUGGCUAUAUACAUUGCUAGCUAUGGUUGGAUAACAAUUUGAUCAUGGAGAUGAAAUUUGUGGAGUAGUUGUCAAUGUCAGAGC